rnacentral:rRNA from 1 species
UUUAAUUGAAGAGUUUGAUCAUGGCUCAGAUUAAACGCUGGCGGCAGGCCUAACACAUGCAAGUCGAGCGGCAGCGGAAGGAAGCUUGCUUCCUUGCCGGCGAGCGGCGGACGGGUGAGUAAAGUAUGGGGAUCUAGCCGAAGGCGGGGGAUAACCACUGGAAACGGUGGCUAAUACCGCAUAAUCUCUAAGGAGCAAAGCGGGGGACCAUUCUGGCCUCACACCUUCGGAUGAA